rnacentral:snRNA from 1 species
GAACUAAUGAAAUAGAAAUUAACGCCCCCCAAGAAACCCCCCAAAUCUGACAAAAGACUCUUGGUAUUGCACUCUGGGUGUGCUGACCCCUGCAAUUUUCCCAAAUGUGGGGAACUCAGCUAUAUGACUUGUGGUCAUAAGGGGAUUGUGUUCACACUUUCCCCUG